UACUUGGGAACUACUUUUCAGUGAUAGCUGUAUUGACUAAGGGAACUACGGCGGGCUUAUGCCUACUGAACUAUAUUCGAAACUAUCAGAGUGUAUAGCAGAUUAGAGCAGAUUACAGCAGCCUUAAAGAUUGUUGGCCAUUAACGGUUAUCCAUGGCACUAAAACUACUUGAUAUCAAUACAUUCACCUCACAACACUUGUUGGCAAAAACAUGUGCUAUAGC